GAACUGGCUAACACUACCAUUAGACAACCAGAGAGUCCUGCAUCUUCAGACAUUUCUGGAUGUUUUUUUUCAACGCAUCACCGUUCACCCACAAGGUCUGAAUCAUUAGAAGCAUUUAGUCCAGAGUCAGCCAGGUCUAGGCGUUCUCGCACACCUCAGCGUGGAGUUCGAAAGCAAUCACAGUCCGGGAGCAGAAAAGGUCGGGCGUCCACAUCCAGAUCUAGGCGUUCUCGCACACCUCAGCGUGGAGUUCAAAUGCCAUCACAGCCCGAGAGAGGCUUAUUUCCCA